rnacentral:rRNA from 1 species
UGAUCAAGUGUCUCUAAGGGCAUUUGGUGGAUGCCUUGGCGUUGAGAGGCGAUGAAGGACGUGACACGCUGCGAUAAGCCAUGGGGAGCUGCGAGUAAGCUUUGAUCCGUGGAUUUCCGAAUGGGGAAACCCGACCGUAAGGUCACCCGCAAGGGAGCGAACCCGGGGAACUGAAAUAUCUAAGUACCCGGAGGAAAGGACAUCAACCGAGACUCCGUUAGUAGUGACGAGCGAACGCGGACCAGGCCAGUGGCCUGAGAGAAGACAACCAGAAGCGUCUGGAAAGGCGCGCCAUAGUGGGUGAUAGCCCCGUAUGGGUAAUGCUUCUUUCAGGUCCUUGAGUAGGGCGGGACACGUGAAAUCCUGUCUGAACAUGGGGGGACCACCCUCCAAGCCUAAGUACUCCUCAACGACCGAUAGCGAACCAGUACCGUGAGGGAAAGGUGAAAAGCACCCCGAUGAGGGGAGUGAAAUAGACCUGAAACCGAAUGCCUACAAUCAGUCGGAGCCGCCUUGAGCGGUGACGGCGUACCUUUUGUAUAAUGGGUCAGCGAGUUACUUUGACGAGCAAGCCUAAGCCGUUAGGUGUAAGCGAAGCGAAAGCGAGUCUGAAUAGGGCGUAUAGUUCGUUUGAGUAGACCCGAAACCGGGUGAUCUAGCCAUGGGCAGGUUGAAGGUACGGUAACACGUACUGAAGGACCGAACCCACGCAUGUUGAAAAAUGCGGGGAUGACCUGUGGCUAGGGGUGAAAGGCCAAUCAAACCCGGAGAUAGCUGGUUCUCCGCGAAAACUAUUUAGGUAGUGCGUCACGUAUUACCGUCGGGGGUAGAGCACUGGAUGGGCUAGGGGGGCGCGAGCCUUACCAAACCUAACCAAACUCCGAAUACCGAUGAGUACAGCGUGGCAGACAGACUAUGGGUGCUAAGGUCCAUAGUCGAGAGGGAAACAGCCCAGACCUCCAGCUAAGGUCCCUAAGUUAUGGCUAAGUGGGAAAGGAUGUGGGAAGGCCAAGACAGCCAGGAGGUUGGCUUAGAAGCAGCCAUCCUUUAAAGAAAGCGUAACAGCUCACUGGUCUAGAUAAGCCGGCCUGCGCCGAAGAUGUAACGGGGCUAAAGCCAUACACCGAAGUUGUGGACGUGAUUUAUCACGUGGUAGCAAAGCGUUCUGUAAGCCUGUGAAGCUCGACCGCGAGGAAGAGUGGAGGUAUCAGAAGUGAGAAUGUUGACAUGAGUAGCGAUAAAGAGUGUGAGAA